rnacentral:tRNA from 1 species
UGGGACGUAGCCAAGUGGUAAAGCAACGGUUUUUGGUACCGAUACUCGUGGGUUCGAAUCCUUCCGUCCCAG